rnacentral:rRNA from 1 species
GGCCCACGGGAGGCAGCAGUGGGGAAUAUUGCACAAUGGGGGAAACCCUGAUGCAGCGACGCCGCGUGAGUGAAGAAGUAUUUCGGUAUGUAGAGCUCUAUCAGCAGGGAAGAUAAUGACGGUACCUGACUAAGAAGCCCCGGCUAACUACGUGCCAGCAGCCGCAGUAAUACGUAGGGGGCAAGCGUUAUCCGGAUUUACUGGGUGUAAAGGGUGCGUAGGUGGCAGGGCAAGUCCGAAGUGAAAACCCAAAGCUCAACUAUGGGAAUGCUUUAGAAACUGCUCAGCUAGAGUGCAGGAGAGGC